CUGCACACGUUAGAGAAGAAGAAAUAGAGGUAUCAGCACAACAUUUGUAAAGAUGUCCUGGCUCUCAACAAAGGCACCAGGCAGGAUUGUUUUUUCUCUUGCAUUCCCAUAAGCCUGACUUCCUGAUGUCCACUACACUCUGUUCUCAAUCUUCUCCAGUCUUUUGCAAACUUUGAUGUUCAGAUGUCCUAUAAGCCUGACUUCCUGAUGUCCACUACACUCCGUUCUCAACCUUCUCCGGUAUUCUGCAAACUGUGAAUGCCUCCUUGUGUUGGAUUCAUGAUGUUCACCAUACUGCACGGCCUACUUUUUUUCUUCGCAAGCUAUGGAAAGAAACUCUGUUCAGCUCAUGAAACGGACUGUUCACAUUUUUUGACAUUUGUGGAGGAAGCAGGGUAUCCUGGUAAUUUUAUUUUGCAGCUACUAUGCUCUCGUCAUAGAUACCUUGCAUCCUACUCAGUGAGUACAUUAUACGAUUUUGAUUUCCAGUAUCUGAUGGACAUUUUGACUCCCAUGUUGAAAUAUGAUUAUUUUAUCAUAUUUUCUCAUUACAACCUACAAUUUGUAUAUAUAGGCCCAACAAAGAGAGAAAUCUGAACUGACAAAGCUGCUCUAUAUGCAUCACAGGUCGAUAUUGUUGACCUUCACAAAUGACUUCAGUCAGUCAGUUUCAGUUGUACAUUUAGAUAAUUCCAAACAUUGAUGUCAACACACUGCUGUUCUUGUACCUAAUAAUAACUUUGAGUUAGUCAUGGCAAAAUGUGUGCAAAAUAUGUGAUGGUUGACUUCAGAGUAAACACUCAUUUUUGACAAAACCCUUCACAUUGAACUUGUAGUAGAGUUGUUUGCAUUAAUUGAACAGGCCAUCUUUGUUUUUUUGUAUGUGAAGGUCAUUAACAAGGAAUAAAAUGAUUGUUUUCAUAUUAAA